CGCUGGCUCUCAGGAGCUGUUUGGAAAAUUCAUUGCCAUGCAUGAGUCGGGGGAUUGGUAUUUUUUCCACUGGAAACUGUUAAUGGGGACUGCAUUAGCGGCCCCUUAUCGCUUUGCCUGAUAGAGAGACAGCAGGUUCGCCCAAACAAUUCUGGAACCCUGAUCACUGCCAAUUAGGGGAGUAUUGUCUGGCUGACAUAAUCAACUUCACGUUACAGCAUGGAAGCUGUUGCCAAGUUUGAUUUCGCUGCUUCAGGUGAGGAUGAACUGAGCUUUCACACUGGAGAUGUUUUGAAGGUAGGUGACGUGGGGCCCCAGGGGAGCAGUAGGGAGUUUCAGUUACUCAGUAACCUGACAGUCCCUGCCUUUGUCUCUUAAGAACUGCAUGUGGUUCCUUUUAAAAAGAGAAGUUCACCUUGAUUCCCUUUGUGCACCCUUAUACCAGACACCAACCAGGCCAGGUGAUGGAAAUACAGUCGGCAUAAGCCACUGUCCUUGUCCUGGGAGGUUUGUAGUCUGGAGAGGGGAACACAUCCACCCAAAGGGCUGUUACAGAUGUUCUUGGCUAAGUUCUCAGGGAACACAGGUGAGGGAACAAGUGAUUCCACCUUGAAAGAUGGGGGUUGUAGGAGUGUGUGCAAUGUGAACGUCAGGAAUGCACUGAAGGUGACUUGGGCUUUUAGCUAAAGCUCAGACAUGUGCAAGCCGGUGCUGAAUUGAGAGAGCAGCACCAGGCUCAGCAGAGCUGGAACUCAGGAGGAGAGGUUGUGGGUGGACUCAGCUUGGGAAAGGCAGCCACAGAGGACAUGGCUCAACAAAGGCCAUGCACACCUGGUCACUCAGGGGCUUUUUAAAGCUUGUCCUCAGCCUGCAGUUGAGUUGUAGUGGCCACUUGCUGAGCUGAAGUGGCCUUGGACUUCUCCCACAUUCAUGCACCAUACUUUCAGACUCUGCAUCUUAGCCCUUGGGUUUUUGUUUUGUUUGUUUGUUUGUUUGUUUGCGAAAGAGCAUAAGCCCUUCAAAAGGGCAUUUGGGAGUAUGUGGACCCAGACCCCCUCUACCUGACCUCAGAGCACCCUCAGAUAGCCUGAUCCCUGGUCCUCAGCAGUCCUGACGAGCCUUCUCGGAUGCCCAACAACACUGAGGCCAUUAGUGUCUCACCGCCGAGAAUUAUGUUUGUUAUACAAAGAACCUUGUCAGCAUGUGAGAGGGUGACAUGGAAAGUGUCUGAGGAGCACGAAACACCACAGAAUGGCUUCUUUUGGAAUAUGAACAUGCCCGUUAGGUAGCCUUCUAACUGCUCUCAACUUUCAAGAUCUAGUAACACAGUGGCAAAGCGUAGGCCUUCACAAAUUUAAAAUAUGAGUUGGGCCUCCUGACCCAGGAAAACCUGUCUGUCACUGCUUUGGGGUCUUACGAAGCUCCUGGAGGGACUUGCCAUGCAGUGAGAAGUUCCUGCCUUCUCUGUGGGGCACUGUGAUCAUGUUACUGUCAUCCACUGGAGACCAUCCUUGUACCAACUUCCACCCUCGUCUUCCAUUGCAAAGACAACCUG
rnacentral:sRNA from 1 species